rnacentral:rRNA from 1 species
AUUGAACGCUGGCGGCAGGCCUAACACAUGCAAGUCGAGCGGAGCGGCGGACGGGUGAGUAAUGCCUAGGAAUCUGCCUGGUAGUGGGGGAUAACGUCCGGAAACGGGCGCUAAUACCGCAUACUAUCAGAUGAGCCUAGGUCGGAUUAGCUAGUUGGUGGGGUAAAGGCCUACCAAGUCGACGAUCCGUAACUGGUCUGAGAGGAUGAUCAGUCACACUGGAACUGAGACACGGUCCAGACUCUAAGGGGAGGCAGAAGUGGGGAGUAUUGGAAAAUGGGGGAAAGCCUGACCCAGCCAUGCCGCGUGUGUGAAGAGGGUCUUCGGAUUGUAAAGCACGGUAAGUUGGGUGGCGUUACCAACAGAAUAAGCACCGGCUAACUUCGUGCCAGCCGCCGCGGUAAUAC